rnacentral:rRNA from 1 species
CUGCGAGUGAACAGGGAUUAGCCCAGCACCGAAGCCUAUGGUUGUUUAGCCAUUAGGCAAUGUGGUGUUUAGGUGUGCUCUUGGCGAUGCCACUCUAUCCAAAGUCCAGCAAUGAGUAUGGCUGCUUGCUUCCCAAAGAGGGUGAAAGGCCCGUAUGGGUGGAGUUGGUUGUUGUCCUGGGUAUGCCUUGGAGUCGGGUUGUUUGAGAAUGCAGCCCAAAGCAGGUGGUAAACUCCAUCUAAGGCUAAAUACUGGCACGAGUCCGAUAGCGAACAAGUACCGUGAGGGAAAGUUGAAAAGUACUUUGAAGAGAGAGUAAACAGUGCGUGAAACCGCUCAGAGGUAAACGGAUGGAGUUGAACUGGAAGCUUCGGGGAUUCAGCUGAUGAGUGUGGAUCGGCAUUCGGGGUUGUUUAUUUAACUGCAAGUUCUUUCUCUUUCGAGGGUUGGAAUGCGCGGAGGCUUGUCAUGUUUCGUGUACCCUGGGUGUUGGUUAUGCUUGUCAGUGCACUUUCUCGGAGUUAUCACCACGACCAGCGCUGUCACUUGUCUGCUGUGGUCAAACCGUUCGGGCUUGGUCUUUGAUUGGGCCUGUUCGGGAUGGCAGGUUGCUCGUUUGUUCAGCAAUGGGCUUUCGAGUUUAUUGGCCGGCUAUGGUGGAUGUAUGUGAUGUGCUGGAGAUUGCGGUCUGUGCUUUCAUGCGCUCUGUGUCCUUCUGGCUUGGUCGAGUCUGAUUGAUUGCCACAUGUUGAAUUACAGGUCUGUUAGUGGCUCGGUCAUGUUCGGUUGGCUGGGGCGUGUGGUACUUUGAAGGGCCUAUAGUCUGUGGUGUAGCGGUAGACGAUCCAUCCGACCCGUCUUGAAACACGGACCAAGGAGUAUAAUAUGCGCGCGAGUCAUUGGGAAUUACGAAACCCACAGGCGCAAUGAAGGUAAAGGUUCGGCUUGUCCGGACUUAGGUGAGAUCCUGGCGUUUCCUUUGCUUUUAGCUUUCGAGCGUCAGGCGCAUCACCGGCCCUCCCCAUGACGUAGCCAUAUGGCCUUGAGCUGUGUGCACCGUCGGGGUGGAGCUAGAGCGCGCAUGUUGUGACCCGAAAGAUGGUGAACUAUGCUUGCAUAGGUUGAAGCCAGAGGAAACUCUGGUGGAGGACCGUAGCGAUUCUGACGUGCAAAUCGAUCGUCAAAUGUGAGUAUAGGGGCGAAAGACUAAUCGAACCAUCUAGUAGCUGGUUCCCUCCGAAGUUUCCCUCAGGAUAGCUGGCGCUUUGAAAUUGAAAUACUUUUAUCCGGUAAAGCGAAUGAUUAGAGGUAUUGGGGAUAAAACGUCCUCAACCUAUUCUCAAACUAUAAAUGGGUGAGAUGCCUCGCUCGCUCAUUUGGAGUGUUGCGUUGAAUAUGAGUGCCAAGUGGGCCAUUUUUGGUAAGCAGAACUGGUGCUGUGGGAUGAACCAAACGCUCGGAUAAGGUGCCUAACGGGGCGCUCAUGAGAUACCACAAAAGGUGUUGGUUGGUAUAGACAUGCAGGACGGUGGCCAUGGAAGUAGGAA